UGCCAGCAGCCGCGGUAAUACAGAGGGUGCAAGCGUUAAUCGGAAUUACUGGGCGUAAAGCGUGCGUAGGUGGUUAGAUAAGUCAGGUGUGAAAUCCCAGAGCUUAACUUUGGAAUUGCGCUUGAAACUGUGUGGCUAGAGUACUGUAGAGGGUAGUGGAAUUUCCGGUGUAGCGGUGAAAUGCGUAGAUAUCGGAAGGAACACCAGUGGCGAAGGCGACUACCUGGACAGACACUGACACUGAGGCACGAAAGCGUGGGUAGCGAACAGGAUUAGAUA
rnacentral:rRNA from 1 species